rnacentral:lncRNA from 1 species
CACGGGCGUGUACCGUGCCCACGGGGCCCCCGUGUCAACGGGCCUCACGGACCCCGUGCGCACGGGCCCUUGCGUCCGGUCCCUGGAUACCCCGUGCGCAUAGGCUCCACUUACCCCGUGCACACGGGGCCCCCUGUGUGAUGCUGCGGGCUUUGCCCAUGUUUUACCAUUUCGCCCCCACUUAUCCCUCUCUUUGCCUAGGACUAUAUAUACUCCUUCAUCUCCUCCAUUUAGACUAAGCUAAGAUUAGAUCAAAACACUAGAGCUUAGCUCAUGUACCUCCCCUUGUGGGAUUUCUCUUGAGAGAGAGACACACUCCAUUGGAGUUCGAGGCCUCCAUUGGAGAAGAUCCCUAGUGGAUGAAGACCCCCUUGAGGGAAGGAUCUAUCUAGAUCAUCAAGCCAUCAUCUCCUUCAUAGGAUUUGGGAUGAACUCUACCAUGUAUCUUAUUUCCCUUUGAUUGUUCAUGUACCUUGUGGAUCUUGUGUGUUUGAUUGUCUAGUGGAUGUGUGAUUUGACUUGUUCUUGAGUGUUCCUCUUGUCUUCCCUAUUUUGUUCAUCUUAUUCUUGGGGAUUCCCCCUCCAAUUCGUGAAAGUUUUCCCCAUAGGGUUCCACCCUACAUCAUCUUGGUAUCAUGAGCCAUGGUUUCUCAAGAAAUUGGAGACCCCCUCUUUCUUUUCUAGCCUAAUUUUGCUUGUUCUUGCCCAAUUUCAAAAAUUCCCCAUAAAAAGAGCCAUAUCAUUUUUUUGUGAUUUGAAGUUUUUGUGAGUUUUUGUUGAUUUUGAUCCAUGGAUCUGAUGUAUAGCAAGUAGAUCUACCCCCGCUUGCGUCCCCAUACCCCAAUUUUUCUUCCCACCUUCGAAUUUGACAAGAAAAUCGCGAAAUUUCCGCCUACCCCAUGCCCACGGGCUCCCCACCCCGUGCCCACGGGCCUCCCCGAAGUCCCUGGAGACCCCCUGUCCUCGGUACGUGUACCGUGUGCAUGGGACCCCAUGUCCACGGGCACUGGACCCCGUACGCACGGCCCCCCUACAGCAUCCGCGAGUACUUCACCGUUUUGGCCGUAACUCUCGCAUCCGAACUCCGAUUUGGGUGUUCUUUGGCUCGUUGAAAAGCUAGCGACGUGCCCGAGCUGCUCAUCUUGGUUUUAGCACCAUUUGACUCCAUCAAAUUUUGUCCAUUUUGCAUCUUUUGCAUUGGCCCUCCGCCAUAACUUUCGCACCACCACAUAAAACUUCCGGAAACUAACCCAUUUUGGUUUCUUUGGUAUUUGUGGUUGUUUGAGUUGUGAUUUGAGUCUCCUAAGGUGUUUCGGCUACUUAGGGACGGUUGCAUCUUCAUCCACCACGAGUGACUUGUAUCGGUCCAUCGACUACAUCCACCACGAGCUUCCACAUCGACGACGACCAUCCAUCCUUUGAGACCAUCUUCAACCGGAAGCAAGGCCGGUUAACCCCGACUUCGUGAAAGGUUAAGUGCGAUGAAGGUAUCCAUUCCGUCAUAAACUUCUCCUUCCUUGCCAUUACAUCUUGAUAGCCCCACCAUCUUUGCGAAUACCUUCAUACCCAUUGAGACUAGCUAUCCGAGUAUUGCCGGGCUUCGCGAAAACUUGUGCACCAUAGUGAUACGAUCGCAUAUUGUUGCAUCAUUGGAUAUAUCAUAUUCUGCCAUUGUUUACUUCCGUGCAUGCCUUGUGAUACUUGUCCCAUAUUUGUGGUUGAGGCUCAUCCAGCAUAGUGGAAAGGAAGAGGAAAGUCAAAAAAAAGAAAGAAAAGCUUUUAAGCAAGAAAGAGAAUGAUCAUAAGCUAAUAAGCAAAGAGUUGAGAAUGAAAGGAGAUACUUGUGCAUGAGGAUACAUGGAAUAGGAAACAUUCUUGUUGCAUACAUAUAGGUUGGUGCCAAGUAGUGAAUCGUGCCCAAGUGUGCAAUCAAGCUAAUGCUCUCCUAGUGUUUGUGCAACACGAGGCUCGUGUUCAUUAGGCAAUUUUGUAUUGCUCAUCCCUAUAGUUGCACAAGCCCCAUUAUCCCACCGUGUGUGUUUCUUUAUUGCCCUCCUCUAUAUUUGUGAUCACUUGAUUUGCAUUUUGAGUCCUUUGGAUUUAUCUCAACAUUUACAAUAUCUUGGACUUCAAUUUGCAUGAAAUUUGUGCCACUUGUCCUAAUCAAGCCACUCGAUAAGCUUUACUUUGUAGGUGUGAGUGAACAAGUCCGGUACCAAUUCCACUAUUCUUUCAUUUUACAUUGAGUGAUACAAGAUACAUCCUCAACUUUGGGAAAAGGUAGCUUGGUAUUGUUUAUCUCAUUUCCUACUCACGUUUGCUCGAGUCUUGUGAUGGUUAGGCAAAGCACAUCAUCUCUGGUCUACAACAACGACGAUGAGUUUGAUGCUAUGAACUUCAUCGACGCCAAGAUGGACAAGCGCAUGGAGGAGCUCAUGGCCCUCAUAAAGAACCGCAAGCGAUCUUCGUCAUCUUCACGAAGACGCUCAAGUGCAAAGACUCCCGAGCUACCAUCUUCGGCAAGUACACACAAGCAUUGACAUCGACAUGACCAUGAAGAGCGAGCUUCAGGACACGUGUUGGCUGCUCUGCCAACCCCGUGCACACGGGCCCUCGACCCCCGUGCCCACGGGACCCCGUGCACACGACCUCCUGUACCCCCGUGCACACGGGCUAUACAGAGUCGCGACAUCAACUACAAGGUUGUAGCUUCUUCAAAACCUUUGGCAUCUUCGCCAAGUGACUUCAAGGCAUCUUCACCUUCGGACGUACGACAUCUUCGCCAACAAGCACCCCAAGACUAUGCUCAAGAGAAGCUCCCCAAGCUCAAGUCCGUGACUUCCACGAGCUACUACGACCUCGACAUCGACCAUGCGAUUCCUUUCUAUGGGACUCAAGAACCCAAGGAGUACCUCGAGUGGGAGCGUUUGAUGGACGACUACCUCAAGCUACAUCAAGUCCCUUCCGAAGAUCAAGUGAAGUGCGCCACAAGAAACUUCCACGACUACGCCUCGACAUGGUGGCUUCACACACCUUCGGAGAGCUACGAGAUGAGUUGGUCCAAGACGAAGAAAGUGAUGCGGCCAGAGUUUGUGCCUCCAACCUACAUGGAACAUCUUCAACGCCAAUUGGAGAACACCAUACAAGGAUCCAAGUCCCUCGAUGAGUACUUCAAGAACAUGAAGGAAGCCUUGCGACGUGCCGGCGUGGACGACCCCAUUUGGAUGAAGUUCUACUUCAUGAUGGGAUUGAACAACGACAUCUCCAAGACUAUCUUUCUCAAGAACUACAAGUCCCUUGACGACAACUACUUUGGUGCUCUCAAGGCGGAGCAAGAACUCAAGAAGGCCAAGUCUACUCGACCCCGAGCUCACUUCACAACGACCAUGCUACAAGACGGCGAGAGUGAUGAUGUGCCAUCUUCGGCCUUCAUUCAUGACGAGAGUGAUGACAUGCCAUCUUCGGCCUUCAUCGAUGACGACAGUGAUGAUGUGCCAUCUUUGGCCUUCAUCCACGACGACGACUACGAGAUGGUUGAGCAUGGGAUUCUACCUUCGACCACGGCAACGUAUGAUGACUUGAGUGACUUUUGCCACCAUAUUGAGAGUGAGAGUGACUUCACCACUAGCCCCAUAUAUGAUGAGCCGCCCCAAUUCCCAUGUGAGGAGAGCCACCACCACCACCACUUGAGUGAUUUGAGUGCCUCCACCAUAUGCGACAUUCAGUGCACCUACCUUGAGGGAGUGAGUGAGCCACCGCCACAUAGAGAGAGUGAGAUAGUUGAUGAGGCAUAUGAGGCCAUUUCGGUUUCUAACAACUUAUCCUCUACCUCUAUUGUGUCUUCUCAUUUGGUGCUAGGUCCCAUAUAUGAUGACGCGUCGAUCCUCAACGACUUCGUCCUCCCUUUGGACAUGACGAUGGCCAUGGUGGAAUAUGAUGCACCCCCACAUGGUUCCAUCAUGAUGAAGAUGAACACGAUUUGGUCUUCCCCACCUCACCUACACCACUUGAGUGGAACGACAAAGGUAACAUAGGUGAAGGUGAUGCUAUUGUCCCACUAGUGGACAUUCUUGACAUUGAUUGCUUGCAUGAUGUUGAUCCACCUAUUCCCAUGCUUCAUGCUAGUGCGACUUCCUCAUGUCAUGACUUACCACUUUAUGAUGAUUAUGAUGAUGAGCAUGUUGAAUUGCCUACUUGUGAUGCCAUGUUACAUAGGAUUUCUUGUGACAAUUCUUUAGGUCACAUCAUCUUUGCUAAUCCGCUUGACUUGUCAUAUGCUAGGCAUGAGAUCAACCAUAUGUCUUAUUUGCAAUCUCUUCAUAGUGACUAUGCAUAUGCCAUUAAAAUAAACCCAAUUUGCACUUAUGGCAUAGAUGACAAGCCCAUGGUUAUUGGCAUUUGUUUCUCUUGUGAUGAUAUUGAUAUGCUCCCUUUGCAUCAUUUAUCUCAUAUGCCAUGCCAUGACCACCUAGCUUCGGAUAUGCAUUGUUUUGGAUGUUGUCCAUUUUCUCCAUAUUAUGCUUCCGAUAUUGCUCAUGAGGAGACCCCCAUAGUUUCCUCAUACCCAUUAGGAGAUUUUGAUCCAUCCUAUCAUUUGCAAGAUUUCCAUGAUUGUGUGCACCAUAUGCUCCCCAUGAAUAAACAUGCUUUUGAUGUGCCAGAUACUUGUUUGCUCAAUUUGUGUCCCCAUCAUGUCAUACAUAACAACUAUUCUUUCAUGAUGGAUGACAUGUUCAUAUACCAUGCCUCAAGUUUCUUUGGCAUUGCUUAUCUUGUGCUAACUCACACGUGCACAUACACAUCAUGAUGGAUGAUGUGUACAUUUACCACACACACAAUUUCUUUCAUUUGUGUCUCUUUUGUGUAGGUACCCAUGAAUACUUGUCAACCUCUCAAUCCCACGAGUUGACAAAACGAGCUCUAGAGAGCAACGAUGAUUUGGGAUCCCAUGGAUUGUCUUUCCCACCGCUCUAUUCGGGCAAAGACUUAGCGCUUUUCUUCUACAUGGCCCUCACUUGGCUAUGGGUUGUUGUCCAUUACAUAUUAUAUGCCCAUCUUGCCAUGUUCACUUUGCAUGAUAUGCUCAUUCCUAUGCCUUUGCCAUGCCUUUGUGACCCAUGCUUUGCAUUACACAUGAUGAUUGAUUCUCAUACUUGUACAUGUACUUGCAAGCUUGGUGGAGAUAUUGCUAGUUAUGGGCAUAUUCCAUCUGUGACCCAUUCCUAUGAUGAUACUAUGAUCUUGCUUUGUGUUUGUGCUUGCGAUAUGUCAUGUGCAUUGCCUAUAUCCACUAUUUGCUCACAUGACAUGAUUGCCAUGAUUUACUCUAGUGUGUUGCAUCUUCGCUCCACUAGUUUGCACGACUUGUUUGAUGUACUUGCUUAUGUUGCAUCACCAAUGACUCAUACUUACUCAUUUCAUGCGGUUGAUGACAACCAUCUACAUGCUUUGCACAUGAUUGUUAUUGCUUCUUGUCACAUAUCUCCAUAUGUUGCAUCUAUCAUGCUAGAUGACUUGCCAUGUAUUGAGUGCAACAAUGCUUAUAGUCUUGCUCAUAAGAUUGCCCCCAUAACACUUUCACAUAUGUUUGGAGAUUUUGACAUAUUCCUUGUGAAGCAUGCUUGUCUUACCUCUUUGCACCAUAUACCUAGUGCCUUGAAUAUCGCCAUUGUUGCAUCAUAUUAUUCAUGCACUUGUGCUUCUAAUGGUUAUGUGCAAGAGAAGAGAACCAUCAUGAUGGAUGAUGUGUUUAUCUACCAUGCGCAUACGCUCUUUGUUUUGUUGUGUGCAUGUGUAGGAUACUUGGACUUCGUGUCGACUUCCACUUCAUAUGAGUUGACCAUUCGAGCUCUUGAGAGAGAGCCUCAUACAUUCGACCAUGACUCGCUUCUACACCACAUUUCCUACCACUUCGACAUUGUGAAGAAUGCACAAGGACAUGCUUUCGAGGUGAUAUCCUUCUAUCUCGAGAACACCCAAACCAUGAGCAUGCAUAUUGUGGAUCAUACUUCAUGUGUUGCUUGCUACAUGACACCUUGCACACAUGCUAGCGAUCUUGCUUCGACCUAUCAUUACCACAUUGCCAUGCCACAUGAUAUAUAUACCUUGUUUGUUGCAUCUAGUUCUUCACAUAUGCCAUGUCCCUUUGCUUAUCACAUGCUUGACUUGAUUACCUCACACAUGUUGAACAAUUGCUCUUUCCAUUGUGUUGAGUGCCAUGAUAUCUUCAAUACACCCUAUGCAUGUUAUGCUUGGAUUUUUUUGCACUUGCCCCAUGUGUUUAGACAUUUCACUAAUUUGGUGUUGUGGAUGACUCUUAUGCCUACCAUAGACCGUUCAUUGAGCACUUUAUGCAUGCUUGCUAUGACCUUGAGGUAGAUGCUUGUUCACUUAUCACAUAUAUUUGCAUCUUGACCUCCCAUUUGCAUGCUUGUUCCCAUGAUGUACUUGAUUGUGCUCAAUUUAUAUGCUCAAAUGCCAUGACACACUUCUUUGUCAAACCAUAUGCUAUGCUUGAUGACAACACUUGUUGGUUGAAUCACCUCUUGAAUGCUUGGUUUUGCUCAUACGACAACCACACUUGUUUUUCCAAGUGCUUGUUAUAUUUGCUCCUUUUGAAGGAAUUACAAGACGGUGCGACAUUGGAGAGUGCCCAUUUGGAACUACAAGAUGAUGGAUGCUUGGGGAUCGUCCACUACUACACGAUGCCAUCAUCUCUUUCCCAUGGUGAUUUGGAUUUCGAUCCGAGGUUGGAUCUUUCCCAAGGGGGAGGGGAUGAUGCAGAGAAUCCUAUGGACAUCACCAUGUCAAGAGUCCAUUUGGCAAGUGACACGUGCCACAUCUACUUCAUGCAUACAAAGGUGAAUCAUCUCCUUUACACAUGUCCACUUGUACCCUUCGAGGAUGGUAUACUACUUGACCCCUCUCUCGUGUGCGUACUUAGGUGUGAGCGGAGCUACACAUUCAUCACGGAGGAGUCCAAGCGCAAGAGAACAACUACACCAUCCAAGACGGAAGCCUGGAAGCGGAGAAGGAAGUGCCAAGAAGAAGGCAGCAGCUCCCAGGCGACCCCAUGCGCCCGGGCCCUUCCGACCCCGUGCCCACGGGCCUCCUAGGCUGGCGGUCCUGAAGACCCCAUGCGCACGGGCGUGUACCGUGCCCACGGGGCCCCCGUGUCAACGGGCCUCACGGACCCCGUGCGCACGGGCCCUUGCGUCCGGUCCCUGGAUACCCCGUGCGCACGGGCUCCACUUACCCCGUGCACACGGGGCCCCCUGUGUGAUGCUGCGGGCUUUGCCCAUGUUUUACCAUUUCGCCCCCACUUAUCCCUCUCUUUGCCUAGGACUAUAUAUACUCCUUCAUCUCCUCCAUUUAGACUAAGCUAAGAUUAGAUCAAAACACUAGAGCUUAGCUCAUGUACCUCCACUUGUGGGAUUUCUCUUGAGAGAGAGAGACACUCCAUUGGAGUUCAAGACCUCCAUUGGAGAAGAUCCCUAGUGGAUGAAGACCCCCUUGAGGGAAGGAUCUAUCUAGAUCAUCAAGCCCUCAUCUCUUUCAUAAGAUUUGGGGUGAACUCUACCAUGUAUCUUAUUUCCCUUUGAUUGUUCAUGUACCUUGUGGAUCUUGUGUGUUUGAUUGUCUAGUGGAUAUGUGAUUUGACUUGUUCUUGAGUGUUCCUCUUGUUUUCCCUCUUUUGUUCAUCUUGUUCUUGGGGAUUCC